rnacentral:lncRNA from 12 species
AUGAAGUCACUUUCUUCCCAGCAGGAGUCAAUGGGCUUUCCUCUCUUUGUUGAGCUCUCUUUGAUCAGGCAAACAAAAUACUCAAAUACCUCGUCAAUCCUGGAAGGCGAUACAGGUUUCCCUCCAUCAAGGUUAAGUACAUCUUGAAGUCUCCAUGUUCAGAGAGAACGCAGUUGAUUGAUUCAACCACACUAACAAGAAGAACGGUUGCUGUUUAACUAAAAGGUGAGUAGAGGCAUAACAUCUACGUCAAAAUUUAGAAAAAUAGCAUACUCUUUGUUAAUUUAUAUCC